CAAAGAAAUCAUUCCUAUUGGUAGCGUGCCUCAGAUCGUCCACUACGCAGCGGCAUGUAUGCUGGGAGUAACAUCGUCGACGCAGCACCGGCAACUUGGAGAGCGUCGUGCCAUUGAAAAGUGGUGAGGCCGUGACCCACAGCAGUGUCCACAUGAUGGCAGGGAACCUGUGGCCCUGGCUACAGCAGCACAGCGUGUAAUCUGGAUGUCACGUCAGGUGAACGAUCUUAUCUGGCCUGAAGUCCUAUGGCGGCAAUGCACGACCGCAUUGGGGAGGCUGAGGUUCAGGGCAAGAGCCUUUAUGGAAAGGGCAGUAACAGGCACAAGAAGGACCCAGUGAAGGAGGGAUUGGAUCCAGUUCAUCUGAAUGCUGUAAUUGGGCUGCGCAAGUGGACCCACACACACAGUGGCUAUACACGCACCUGGUCAUUCACAAACAUAUGCACACACUAGCAGGUCGUUCGAGAAUUUUGCCAUGCACCAUUCCUCUUCCCGUUAAGGCACUCCGCACGUCUGACCACCAGGGGACAGACUCUCGCUGCCUUCGUGUGCACAGCCAUAAAUAAUGGCGGCACCAUGCAUCUAACAUUGGUUGAAGUUCAGCAUCUGUUCGUUC